rnacentral:rRNA from 1 species
GAUGAACGCUGGCGGCGUGCCUAAUACAUGCAAGUCGAGCGAACGGACGAGAAGCUUGCUUCUCUGAUGUUAGCGGCGGACGGGUGAGUAACACGUGGAUAACCUACCUAUAAGACUGGGAUAACUUCGGGAAACCGGAGCUAAUACCGGAUAAUAUUUUGAACCGCAUGGUUCAAAAGUGAAAGACGGUUUUGCUGUCACUUAUAGAUGGAUCCGCGCUGCAUUAGCUAGUUGGUAAGGUAACGGCUUACCAAGGCAACGAUGCAUAGCCGACCUGAGAGGGUGAUCGGCCACACUGGAACUGAGACACGGUCCAGACUCCUACGGGAGGCAGCAGUAGGGAAUCUUCCGCAAUGGGCGAAAGCCUGACGGAGCAACGCCGCGUGAGUGAUGAAGGUCUUCGGAUCGUAAAACUCUGUUAUUAGGGAAGAACAUAUGUGUAAGUAACUAUGCACAUCUUGACGUUACCUAAUCAGAAAGCCACGGCUAACUACGUG